GGCCUCGUGGCUCAGCUGGUAGAGCACUCGCGUACAAAGCGUAGGCGGCGUCCAUGCAUGGGUUCGAAUCCCUCCGAGGCUA
rnacentral:tRNA from 1 species